ACGAUACUUAGUUAGUUAGUUGCACACUUAUAAACAAAUCCAUGGUAGUAAAAACCCACAGUAACUGUGUCUUAUGCGUGCACAAUCCGAACGCGUUUUUCGCGUGACGAAUUCGUACACGCCAAAUAAUAGAAAUUCCUGGAAACACAUCAAUACACAAUUGACUAAUAAAGUAUUUUCAAUUGUUCGUAAAUGAUAUGUUGAAACAGAGACAGGAUAUAAGCCAAUAUAUAUAGUUAAACGUGAACAGAAAUCACGUAUAAAUACAUCACUGUUGCACUUUUAUUGUGUCUACAUUGAGUGAAUUAAAUAAUAUUCGACAUGAGAGCAUACUUCAUAUCGGAUCGUAUUACAUUUCGGAAUUCUAACAACAAAAUCUUGGAGAAUUACGUCCUAUUUUAAAACAAUAAAGAUUGGCACUCAACGAAAGUGUGCGGUGAGUCGAACCAUAUUAAUAUACGAU